UAGAGAAGGGUUUCUUUCACUAUUGUCUCAUACUCUCCCUUCAAAUGGCUCAAGGUUAAGGGCAGGCUGUGGGGUUACGGUUAAGAAAGAGGGUGGGGAGAGUCAAUUUCUUAGAUCCCUUUAAGAAGCUUUUAAGGCCAGGUGCAGUGGCUCAAGCCUGUAAUUCCAGCACUAUGGGAGGCUGAGGUGGGAGUGUCAGAGGCAUUUGAACCAGAGGGACUCCAUCUUGAGUAGGGGCUGGGUAAAAUAAGACUGAGAACUACUAGGCUGCAUUCCUAGAAGGGUAGGCAUUCUAAGUCACAGGAUGACAUAGGAGGUCAGCACAAGAAACAGGUCACAAAGACCUUGCUGAUAAAACAGGCUGCUGUAAAGAAGCUGGUUAAAACCCCCCAAAAGCAAGAUAGUGAUAAGAGUGAUCUCUGAUUGUCCUCACUGCUCAUUAUAUGCUAAUUAUAAUGCCUUAGCAUGCUAAAAGACACUCUCAUCAGCACCAUGGCAGUUUACAGAUGCCAUGGUAAGAUCUGGCAGUUACCCUAUAUGGUCUAAAAAUGGGAGGAACCCUCAGCUCUGGGAAUUGCCCACCCCUUUUCCACAAAACUCAUGAAUAAUCCACCCCUUAUAGCCUGGCUAUUUUUGCAAACACUAAAUAAUUAGCAUAUAAUCAAGAAAUAACCAUAAAAAUGGGCAGCCAGCAGCCCUGGAAGCUGCUGUGCCUAUGGAGUAGCCAUUCUUUUAUUUCUUUACUUUCCUAAUAAACUUGCUUUCACUUUACUCUAUGGAUUCACCUCGAAUUCUUUCUUGUGUGAGAUCCAAGAACUCUCUCUUGGGAUCUGGAUCAGGACCCCUUUCCUGUAACAGGAGGAUAACUUGAGCUUAGGAAUUCAAAACCAGCCUGGGCAACAUGGCAAGACCCCAUAUCUACCAAAAAAAAAAGUUAGCCAGGCAUGGUGGCAUGCACCUGUGGCCACAGCUACUCAAGAGGCUGAGAUGGAAGGAUCACUUGAGCCCAGGAGGUGAAGGCUGCACUGAGCCACGUAAACCAACAAUAAAAUUCUAAGGCCCCCCCGCCAACCAUCUGAAUGGACCCUUCCUCUUAGCCAAGGGCAUUCCAAAGUUAACCUGAAAAACUAGUUCAGGCCAUGAUGGGAAGGGGGAGUCAGACAUGCCUCAUUCUACCCUCCUCCCUUCAAAACCCCUCAUCAUAACCCAGACAUUCUUUUCUAUCGAUAAUAACUCUUUCAACCAAUUGCCAAUCAGAAAAUCUUUGAAUCCACCUAUGACUUGGAAGUCCCACCUUUCAGUUGUCCCACCUUUCCAGACCAAACCAAUGUACAUCUUACACAUAUUGAUUGAUGCCUUAUGCUCCCUAAAAUGUAUAAAACCAAGUUGGGCACCAACCACCUUGGGUACAUGCUGUCAGGAUCACCUGAGGUUAAAGGUGUGCUCUUAACUUUGGCAAAAUGAACUUUCUAAAUUGAUUGAGACCUGUCUUUGACACUUUUGAUUUUACAGCUGUGAUCCUGCUGCUGCACUCCAGCCUAGAUGACAAACUGAGACUCUGUCUCAAAAAAGAGAGAGAAGCUUUUGGGACCCCAGCCCCAAUAAUUUUCAUUUAUACCUCAUUGGCUGUCCCUAGUUUCAAGAGAUUUGGGAAGUACAGUCUUUUACUUGGAUGUAUUGCUGCCUGCCACCCCCCACCCCCAUCCCAAAUCAAGUACUUUUAGUAAAGCAGAAAGAGAAAUUGGGAAUUGGUAGGUGACUGACUGACAGUCUCUAUCUCAGACAGGGAAGCCAGGGCUCAGGAAUGGGGAAAUUCCAGGCCCUGGAGGGUGAAUAUUUUUUCUUCUCUUC
rnacentral:lncRNA from 10 species